AAAUUGAAGAGUUUGAUCAUGGCUCAGAUUGAACGCUGGCGGCAGGCCUAACACAUGCAAGUCGAGCGGAAACGAGUUAUCAGAACCUUCGGGGGACGAUAACGGCGUCGAGCGGCGGACGGGUGAGUAAUGCCUAGGAAAUUGCCCUGAUGUGGGGGAUAACCAUUGGAAACGAUGGCUAAUACCGCAUGAUGCCUUUGGGCCAAAGAGGGGGACCUUCGGGCCUCUCGCGUCAGGAUAUGCCUAGGUGGGAUUAGCUAGUUGGUGAGGUAAGGGCUCACCAAGGCGACGAUCCCUAGCUGGUCUGAGAGGAUGAUCAGCCACAC
rnacentral:rRNA from 1 species